UCAGACAAAUCUGUGCUAUGGAAACAAAGAUCGGCAUCAUUCACUUUCAAAUCAGCACAUUUUUGGAACAUUUCCUCCGAUUUCAAUGUCUGAAAAAGGACUAAAAGUGGGUGGAGGGACCAUUUUAAAAACAUAUAUAAAAGUAUUUAAAGCAGAAAUUUCACAUUGUUAUGAAUAUGAACAUUUUCUACCGUAUAAUUUUCCUACCAUGUUGGAGCAGGAGGGUGGGUGACCCACCAUCCUGUAUUUGGACCUAUCUGCGUUAAAAUAGUGAUGUCGCUCUACAAUGAGUGACUUUGAGUUUAGUGAAAGAAAUGUUCAUUCUAAUUGUAAUUAUGAACUAUGUGCAGAUAUUCUUGAUGCCAUUACAACUGCUGAGCAGUACAGGCAAUGUUUAAAUCGCCACACCUCACUUGAAGUGUUUUAUUUGUGUUUUCUUUUAAGUGCUUCACAUGUUAACUGUGUUGUGUUUCAUACAUGACUUCUGCUCUUUUGUUUCUUAGAGUUCUCGUUUCUACACUGUGAAGCCUGCAUCAGCAUUAAAGGAUUUCUUCAGCCUGCUCGAGCUGCAGGUCCUUGUUUGGCAAUAAUAAUCUUAUGGUCACUGAUAACGCCCGAUCGCUGUGUGUGCAGUUUCUUUCUCACAGCCUCCGACUACCUACGUGGUCUCUGUUGGGGGGGCAGAAGAGGCCCCAGCCCUCCAUGCACCAACAAUCUGCAACAGCUGAUCCCGGGAAACACAGACGUUCCCAGCAUAGAGACAGAAUCUGUCCACUGUGAUCUUAGUGUGUGCAGUACUGCAGAUUGUGGGAUAGAUGUGAUACCAAGUAAAUGUAUGGCCAGUAUUGCUGAUACUUUUAAUCUAUAGAAGCAGCUUAUGUAGGGGAGAGCAGUGUAUCAUAACUUAUGACGUGAAUCAUAAGUUUGCAACUUCUGCAGACGUUUUUAAUGAAUCACUGUGAUUCUGCAACACUGAGUUA